rnacentral:antisense_RNA from 1 species
GAUAGCCAUAGAUGACAAAGGGAUCCAACGUGGGCUGGGUUAUCAAGCGUACCGUUUGCAAAUUGGCAUCGUACAACCCACCCCAGAUGGUUGCUUUGAGAACUAACAGCAGGGCACCGAACCCCAAAAAGAGCAGAUGAUGUCCCAAAAUAAUGCCCAGUUGUUUUGGAUCAUCCCA